GUUUCUUUUCUAUUUGAGGCCGCAUCCAGCCGAGGGAUUUCUUCUGACUCCAAGGCCGCUCUGGAGUCGAAGAAGGUCGGGGCAACGUCCAGGCAUCCGGUCCCUUCUGGCCGCACUGACGAGAGGACGGUUGAGACAACACAGAGCCCGGGUGUGUUGUCUUCUACUGAUGAAGAUGAGGCAACUACUGCGAAGGUAAGUGAGGUGAGUAUGGGUAAUGUUGAUGUUGUUAGGGGUUCAGUUCA